GUAGGUGGCAAGCGUUGUCCGGGAAUUAUUGGGGCGUAAAGCGCGCGCAGGCGGUUCUUUAAGUCUGAUGUGAAAGCCCACGGGCUCAACCGGUGGAGGGUCAUUGGAAACUGGAGAACUUGAGUACAGAAGAGGAAAGCGGAAUUCCACGUGUAGCGGUGAAAUGCGUAGAGAUGUGGAGGAACACCAGUGGCGAAGGCGGCGUUUCUGGUCUGUAACUGACGCUGAGGCGCGAAAGCGUGGGGAGCAAACAGGAUUAGAUACCCUGGUAGUCCACGCCGUAAACGAUGAGUGCUAAGGUGUUACGGGGGUUUCCGCCCCUUAGUGCUGCAGCUAACGCAUUAAGCACUCCGCCGUGGGGAGUACGGCCGCAAAGGCUG
rnacentral:rRNA from 1 species